rnacentral:rRNA from 1 species
CAUAGCCGCGGGAAAACGGAGGGGGCUAGCGUUGUUCGGAAUUACUGGGCGUAAAGCGCACGUAGGCGGCUUUGUAAGUUAGAGGUGAAAGCCCGGAGCUCAACUCCGGAAUUGCCUUUAAGACUGCAGAGCUAGCAGGUGAGAGAGGUGAGUGGAAUUCCGAGUGUAGAGGUGAAAUUCGUAGAUAUUCGGAAGAACACCAGUGGCGAAGGCGGCUCACUGGCUCAUACUGGACGCUGAGGUGCGAAAGCGUGGGGAGCAAACAGGAUUAGAUACCCCCGUAGUCCCUGUCUCUUAUACA